rnacentral:tRNA from 1 species
AUUUAAAUAGCUUAAGUCUAGAGCAUAACGUUGAAGGUGUUAAGGUGGUUAAGUAACUUUUAAAUA